rnacentral:rRNA from 1 species
AGAGAUAGAAAGUUACUUCGGUACAUCGGUGACAGGUGGUGCAUGGUUGUCGUCAGCUCGUGUCGUGAGAUGUUGGGUUAAGUCCCGCAACGAGCGCAACCCUUACCCUUAGUUGUUUUCCCGAAAGGAUUACCCUCUAAGGGGACUGCCCCGGACAACGGGAGGAAGGUGGGGAUGACGUCAAGUCCGCAUGCUCCUUACGUCUAGGGCUACACACGUCCUACAAUGGGGUCGACAGUGGGAUGCAAAGCCGCGAGGUGGAGCCAAUCCCCAAACGGCCUCUCAGUUCGGAUAGUAGUCUGCAACUCGACUACUUGAAGUCGGAAUCGCUAGUAAUGGCGGAUCAGCAUGCCGCCGUGAAUACGUUCCCGGGUCUU